AGAACAUCGAUACUACUGUGCGCUUUUGGUUGUGUUGGUUACCCCGUGGUGUGCAGCUGCCCUCCAGCUCCUCUCCAUCUCCCUCUCCAUCUCCCCCUACUUCUAUCACAUCUCUCUUUACUGGCCCUUCUAUCCACUCUCUCUAUUAAUGGUUCUUUUCACCUCUCUCCAAUAACAUCUACCACUCAUCCCUAAUAUUAUUGGUUCUCUUCACCUCUCUCCUAUAACAUCUACCACUCAUCCCUAAUAUUAUUGGUUCUCUUCACCUCUCUCCUAUCAUUUGAUACCGCUCUAUCUACAUUUGGUUCACUUGUUGCAAGUUACCCUUUGGUUCUGGUUCAAAGAUUAUCACCCAUUUGUUCUGGUUGGAAAGCUCCAGAUUUCUGGUAUCUGGUUUUGGUUCUACAGGUUGUUUGGUACCUGAUCAUUCUGUUUUAUGGUUCUGUGAGUUUCUCUUCUCACACUUUUUCUACCUCUCCUGUCUCUCUCUCUCACACAUUUGAUUUGGCCUUUUCAAUUGGCAAAAAUUCAGUUAUUGUA